CCUACGGGCGGCAGCAGUGAGGAAUAUUGGUCAAUGGCCGGAAGGCUGAACCAGCCAAGUCGCGGGAAGGAAGAAGGAUCUAUGGUGUGUAAACUUCUUUUAUAGGGGAAUAAAGGUAGCCACGUGUGGAUAUUUGCAUGUACCCUAUGAAUAAGCAUCGGCUAACUCCGUGCCAGCAGCCGCGGUAAUACGGAGGAGGCGAGCGUUAUACGGAUUUAUUGGGUUUCAAGGGUGCGUAGGUUGUUUUUUAAGUCAGCGGUGAAAGUUUGUGGCUCAACCAUAAAAUUGCCGUUGAAACUGGUAGCCUUGAGUGUGUUUGCGGUAGGCGGACUGCGUGGUGUAGCGG
rnacentral:rRNA from 1 species